CUAGGACUGAACAUCAGAGGCCUGGAUGUCACCCUGGCCUGCUCUAAGCUUGCUGUGAGACCAUAGGCAAGGCCUCUCAUCGUGCCUCAGUUUCCCCGGUGUUUACUAUGGAAACUCUGAGCCCCAACACUCUCCCUAUCAGCUCCGAGUCAGGCUCCCCCAGCACACCAGCAGGGCCAGCGGGCUGAAGGGCUAUAGAGGGGCCAUCUCCUCCCCACCCACGGGCACACAGGGCCCUCAAUGAAAAACACGGCGUAUACAAAUAAUUAAAAGGAAGAAUUGGAGUGAUUAGGGCAGAUGAUUAUUGUCAAAUUAUGAUUUAUCUUGUAGUGGAAUUAGUAUUCCCCCAAAGGGCCUGGCGUGGCGCGGCGCCCGGCACGGCCCGUGAUUAAUCGCCGUCUCCAGAAGGUCACCUCCAGCCACUGCAGAUUAACUCAGUGGGGAAACUUCUUUCCGUAAUUCAAGCUGUUGUUCCCACAACCUGUCAUCCGCCUCGGAAAAGGACGAUUUCGUCAGGAGCCCAGGGCGGGGGCUGGCGGACUCCUGGGCCCCCCGGCCGCAGACAUGAUGUAUGCUCAUUUGUCCCCUCAGCAAGAGAGAGCGCUCCCAGGCCCAGGGAUCACACUCUCCCACCUCCUCCACCAGACCAGGUGCUCUCUGGGCCUCCUACAUCCAUCUGCCCAGCGCAGUGCAGAGCAAACCAGCCGGAGAAGGUGCUUCUUCUGGAAACCAUCUGGGAAGAACUGCCUGGCAGAUACCGCCCCCUCCCCGUGUUCACACACUGACUCCUCCGAACAAGCUAGAGAAGCUCAUUCACCUCAUUUUGCAGAUGAAGAAGCAAACCAGAGAGGUGGGCGUGACUUACUCAAGGCCAAGGGCUGGAAGUAGCAGAGGUGGCUGCAUGGGGGGAAGGCGUCCUGUCCAGCUUCCCCCUCAGCCCACUCUCUGGAGCCCUGGACUCCCCACAGAGGUGGCUCCAAAGCCUUUAUCCCCAUCCUUCCCCAGACCCAAGUGGGAAGUGGCAGGGAGGCAGAUGUCCUGAGCACAGAAGCUGCUUCCCGUGAGUUCUGGAUCUGGUUCUAAUCCCAAGCCAAGCCCCUCACCAGCAAGAAGCCCUGGGCAGGUUACUUUACCUCUCUCCGCCUCUGUUUUCUCAUCUGUAAAAUGAGUCCUAACCUCACAGGGCUGUUACGUGGAUGAAUGAGACUGGGGUCUGGGCUGGCAAAUAGCAAGUGUUAUGAAACGUGCCUAUUUGGGGUUGUUUUAUAAUGUUCAUUACCCGCUUAAUUACUUGGAGAGGGGUUAAUUAGUUGAGGGAGGGUAUGAUAGCCUGGUAGCUUCACCAUCUUCAGAAAAGAAACUGAGUCAGAGCUUUUCUUUGAGGAUCUCACCAGAUUAACUGUCUUGAAAGCCAGCUAAAAUUCUGUCCUUCCAACACCACCAAGAACCCUCCAUCGCUCCCCACUCGUGGAAUCCAGCACAAAGGCCUAACCAGGCCAGCUCGUCCCUGUUCCUAAAAUAUUCUCUGUUUGUUCCUGCCUGGCUGCCUUUGACCAAGUCGGGGCCUCUGCCUACAAUGCCACUUCCCUCCUACCUCCACGUUUGUUAUCAAAAUCUUUCAAAGCUCCGCCUAAAGGCCACGCCCUCAGGGAAACUAAGCCCCUAACUCCCCCCACCCCGCAAGGGGCCCUGGGGGCCCCUAGGCCACGCACUCUGCACCCCCUUCGCGGGUUGUCGAGGCCUUCCCAGUCUAACCCCAGAUGCAGGCGCAGGAUACGCAGUGGGUGCCCCGACCUUGGGGAGCACAGCCUGCUCCCCCACCCGCGUCGCUGCAGCGCGGCGGCCCGGCUUUGAUCCGGCUGCCUCCGCGCCCCAAACCUGAUUGGCAUCGAAUUACGCCGCGCGGCGCGGGGAGAUAAUGGCGGGAGGCGCGGCAGACAUGAAAGUGGGGGCGCAGCGGCAGUCCGGGCCGUUGUUAAUGACCCAAUAAAAAGGAAGAGGGGGGAGAAAUAACCCUCCCUUCCCUCCCCGCCCCCAAGACAGCGGCCGGUGCACACAAAGCUGCCGCCGACUCGGAAAUUACCGCGGCUCAGCCCAGCGCAGCGUGACUGGAGCGGGGGCGGGCUCACCUGGCUGGGACGCGAGGGGGACGCGAGGGAGGGCGGGCGCUAGUCACGGGGACACUCGAGAGCGGGCACACAGCCGCACACGCUUGCACACACACCGCGCUUGUCUGUAACAGCUUUUGGUCGUUGAUUUUUUUGCUUUAAGUGUGAUUUUUUAAAAAAUACACAUGACAUUGUUUUGUCGGAUUACUGAGUUGUUUUGGAAUCCUCUUAAAUUCUGUGCCCACCUUAGGCCUGGUCACUCACAUACAGCACCGUGUAGUCGCAAGUCCAGUGUAUCACAUACACACAGUUGUGGAUGGGGAUUUUGCUCAGUGGUGCCACCACCUACCUUGCAAGCGAGGUCCCACGUUCGAUCCCCCGUACCAAAGAUACGCACAGAUGUAACAGUCUCACACAGUCACACACACAGAGAUACAGUCUACCUAGGGACACUUUGGGGAACACAGCCACACGGAUACACACAUGCCCAAUAAGGGUACAGAGAUGCUUACACAGAGACAUACCCAGGAGUAAGACAAACAUACAUGUCAAAAAUAUACAUGGAGAGCCGGGCGUGAUGGUGCAUGCUUGUGAUCCCAGCACUUGGGAGGCUGAGGCAGGAGGAUUGCUGUGAGUUCGAAGCCAGCCUGGGCUACAUAGUGAGUUCCGGGUCAGUCUCAACUACAUAGUGGGACCCUGUCUCAAAAAAAACAAACAAAAAAAACACACACACAUGGAGGGGCUGGAUAUCUAGUUCAGUGGUUCUACCAACAGCCUUGGAAGCAUAAGGUCCUGAGUCCAAACCCCAGUACAAUAAAUAAAUAAAUACACAUGGGGCCGGGCAGGGUGGAGCAGGCCUGUAAUCCCAGCACUCAGGAGGCUGAGGCAGGAGGAUUGCCACAAUUUAAGGCCAGCCUGGCCUACAUAGUAAGUUCAGGACCAGCCAUACACACACACACGAGACACAUAAAUGGGGAGGAAACUCACAGGGACUGAGACCCAUCACACAGGGACACAGAUGAACACAAUUGAGAUCUGUAGACAAACAUAAGCAUUCAGAAAUACAUAGGGACAAGUACACACAUGAUGUUCUGAAAAAACACCCACACAGACAAUAGGCCCCUAACUAGUGAUACACACAUCCAAGCAUCCCUCAGCAGUGUCUCUGGGAAACACCACUUAUGCCCUCAAAGCCCUCCAUUUCACACCCUCAUGCAUUGUCCAGUGUGUUCCUAUGAGUCAAAGCAGAGACAAGAGUGCAUCAUGGGCCACAGAGCCCAAGAUCAGUCCACCUACCCCGGCACAUGGUGGCAGUGGGGAGGCGUGUGGGUAGAACCACUGGGACAAGUGGUUUGAUGGUCAGAAUCUCAA
ensembl:lincRNA